CCAAUGUUGACAACAUGAUGCUUGUUACAGUCGCCACAACACGUACAGACCGUUUAAACUACAUAAACUGUAAAUGACAGCUCAGUGAUAGUAUAUUAAUGCCACUCAACAACAUAUUUCAGCCCAUAAACAAACAAAUCCGACACACGCUGCGUUAAAGUUCAGGAAGCAAAGAUGUCACGCGACUCACCUGAUAAGGGAGGUGUUUGGAGCAUACACUCAACAGAAGCAGAGCUCUGGGACGUGUGGACAGACAUUCACUAAUAAGGGAUGUGUUUGGACCGUUACACUCAACCAACAGAAGCAGAGCUCUGGGACGUGUGGACAGACAUUGGUUGUAAUGAUGGACAUCUGCUCAUGUACAGGUGUCAGCAGGUUCUCCCAUCACUUUCCACAGCUGGAGGAUCCCACAGGUUUCAUCAAUGCGUAUCCAUUCAGAGCAAGAGUGGGAUAUAUUGUGCCAUCCUGUAAUGGGAAUGAAUGUUGGGACGUUUUUUAUCUUAAAAUAAAUUUACUACAUCAUUUCUGAUAAUCUUGCACAAUGUGUGAUAUGAAUAUGAUGAUUCAUCUAAACUUGUCAAGUAUAUUAUAAGUUUUAUUUAUUUCAUGAAGUAAUAAUUAGAGUCAUGCAAUAUUGUAUUCUGUGAAUGAAUACCAGGACAAACAAAUAUGUUAUUUUUGGAAACGGAUCUCUAGCCAGGCGCUCCUCUUCCUUUCCUUCCUCAGAAUUCCUUCCGUCUCUUUAAUCCCGCUGGUGUCAAUCAUACUUCAUGUCCACAAGGAGGAGCUGUCAAAUGUCCAUAUAUGCUGCUUGAAUCUGCAAAUACUCAUAAACAAACCAUUAAAA